CGUGAACGCCUCAUUAGACCGUGAAAUGGCUUGCACUCACAUACCCGGUAAAUAACACAGUUUGAUGUUCUGCUUCUUCUCCUGACGGACACGUUAACGACGUCUGCGCUCCCGUUUCUGUGCAUGUCCAGCCUGAGAAACAACUUGAAUCCAACCAGACUGAACACUGACUCCAGGGACAGACGAUCCUGAAGGACACAGCUGUGAUGACCAUGUUCUGUCUCUUAUGGCAAAGCAGAAAUAUAAAACACUGGGUUCUUAUCUAAAGUGUUUCAAAUCAGAUCUCCA